UUUGUAGGACGCCAGUUAAAAAACAACCCGAGUUGUAACUUUCCGGCCACCUACCUGCCAAUAUCCCUUUCCCCACCUUGCCUAAUCUAAUCGCAGCCCUUCUGGUUUUUUCUUAGUGAAACAUGAUUCCUUAGGUCUCUGGCUGUUCACAGACUUUACUCAUUUGUUCCAAGCCGCUUGGAUCCCAGGGAGGUGAUGAAAGGGCCUGUGCAGCUAGAAUAAGAAGUAUAAUUCCGAUGAAACCCAGAAAUUCAUUAGGAGAAACGUUGUAUGUCUAAUCAAAAUAUUGAUGGAAACCGAACGGCCUCCAGUUACUAAAUUUGAGAAGUUAAAGCUUUUCCUCCUGUACAACUUUUGAACAUCUAAAAGAAGAUGUGUAGUGUAGUGGCCAAGACCUUGAAGAAAGAAAGUGCCAGAUUCAAAUCUUACCACCAACAACAAUUUUUUUUUUAAUCUCUGACUUUGGACUGACUUUAACUUUCUGAGUCUCAAUGUCCUCAUUCACAAAAUCAGCAUCAUAACUUUGACAUGGGUUGUUACAACAUAAUUUGUAUGUAAACAGCUUAACAUAAUGGCUGACACAGUAAAUGUUCAAUAAAAUGAAAACCCUUAUCAAUGUCUUCAUCAUUAUUCCUAUCUGCCAAGAUUUGUAACAAAACAUAGAAGAGAAAGAUUUAUAAUAAUGGCAAUCAUGAACUGUACAGACUAUAAGCUCCCUGAGGGCAGGCAUUUUUGUUCCUUUGGUUCAUUGCCGUAUCCCAGUGCCUGGAAUAACAUCUGCCACAGAAUAUCCUCAGUAAAUAUUUGUUGAAUGAAUAUCACACUUUUUAAAUGGAUAAAAACAUGCUUUUAAGCAUCAGAAUGAGUCAGCCAUGCCAAGGGUGGAUUAGAUGGGAGGAAACUGGAGGCGGAGAGACGGAUUUGGAAGCCACUGCAAUAAAGUUAGAGAAAUGUGUAUAUGAAUAAAGCCAUGAUAUUGAGGAUAAUGAUGAGGGGGUAGAUUUAAGAAUUAUUUAAGGAGCAGAAAAAUGGAACUUAAUGACAGAUGAGUUUCCUUUAAAAGUCAAAUUGCCCAAAUCCAUUAAAAAAGUAGAUGAACACAAGUACAAUGUAUACAGUGUUUUAGAAAUACUUCUAUUGAAGGAAUGAGAGAGAGGUUCUCUUGAUUGACAGGUGGUCCUUCUCCCAUGGCUAACCUAUAAUCUAUUGUAAAGUCACUUCCAUUGCCUGGUGAGAAAAGGCCAGAUGUUCUUGGGUGUGAAGAAUAUCUAUAACCAUAUUUCCCAUUUUCAACUCUCUUAUAAUUCCUGUUUUAGUAACUAUGUUUGAGGGGAAAGUUGUGACAGAGCUGAACAUUUAUUUCAACAAUUGCUUCCAAAGACAAGCACCCAAUUUUUUUGAGUUAAAGUGAUGGCAGGGCCAUAGUAGAAAAGGUAGGGGUUUAAGUCUGUAAUAGUUGGAUUUACAUACUUGAUCUGCACUUACUAGUUGGCAGCUCAAACUCUCUGAGCUUCUGUUUUCUUAAAAUAGGGACAAUUAUCCCAGGAUGAUUGGGUUGCAGUAAAGAUGAAAUGAGUUGGUAUGUGUAACACACCUUACCCACAGGGACACACUUUAGUAGUAUAGCAGUGGCUCCAGAAUUUCCUCCUGGGAGGGACUCAAGGGUGGUGGUCUCAGGUUGAACUGCAUCGCCCCAAGAGACGUGUCAAAGGCUCAAACCCCAACACUUGUGAAUGUGACCUUAUUUGCAAAUAGGGUCUUGGCAAGUUAAGAUUAGGUCAAAAUAGAUUAGGCUGGGCCUAUUCCAAUGACUGGUAUCCCUACAAGAAGAGGAAAUUUGGACCCAGGGAUACAGGAAGGAUGCCAUGUGAGGAGAGAGGCAGAAACUGGAGCGAUAUGUCUGCACGUGAAGGGAUGCCAAAGAUUGCCAGCAGCAACCAGAAGCUAGGAGAGAGGCAUGGCACAGAUUCUCCCUCAGAGCCUCCAGUAGGAGCCAACACUGCUAAUACCUUGAUUUUGGACUUCUAGCCUCCAGGCUGGGAGAGAAUCAAUUUCUGUUGUUUUACUCCACUGAAGUCUGUGGUACUUUGUUACAGCAGCCCUAGGGAAGUAAUACUGCGGGAUUAUGGGAUUUGUUCUUUAGCCAACUGCAUUUCAUUUGGACCAAAUUUAGCAAUGAGCACCAAUGGAAAUAACCACUGCUUUGGAGCCAUCACUCUACCAAAGCCCUGGACCUUACGCUACAACUUGUUUUUAAUCCAAUUUUAAGUGGGGGGAAAAAAAACACAAAAAAGUGCAGAGUAAAUAUCUGAAUGAAUUUUCAGCACAGAUGUCAAAUGUCCAUCUGAAAAAUGCAUUUGAGAACAUAUGAACCUUUCCAACUUUGAAGACCCAGGCAUCCUACAAUGAGCUUACCCAUAGAGGUGUCAUGUGCUUGCCACUGACACAGCUGAUGAUAUCUGUUACCCCAAGUCCAGAGCUGGUGUGAUCCAGUUUUCUCAGGUUAACACAAUUUAAUGUUAAGGAGUCAUUGGUGCCUAUUUCCCAACCAUAAAUGGAAAGAGAGGCUUAAAUCUAUUUUAAGCUAAAUGAUUGCAAAGACACUGCUUUUUAAAUUCAUGUGAUUUAAGGAAUUAAACUUAUAUGAAU